GACGAACGCUGGCGGCGUGCUUAACACAUGCAAGUCGAACGCUGAAGCCUAGCUUUUGUUGGGUGGAUGAGUGGCGAACGGGUGAGUAACACGUGAGUAACCUGCCCCCUUCUUUGGGAUAACGCCCGGAAACGGGUGCUAAUACUGGAUACUCACUGAUCUUCGCAUGGGGGUUGGUGGAAAGGUUUUUUCUGGUGGGGGAUGGGCUCGCGGCCUAUCAGCUUGUUGGUGGGGUGAUGGCCUACCAAGGCUUUGACGGGUAGCCGGCCUGAGAGGGUGACCGGUCACAUUGGGACUGAGAUACGGCCCAGACUCCUACGGGAGGCAGCAGUGGGGAAUAUUGCACAAUGGGCGAAAGCCUGAUGCAGCGACGCCGCGUGAGGGAUGGAGGCCUUCGGGUUGUAAACCUCUUUCGCUCAUGGUCAAGCCGCAACAUUGGUUGUGGUGAGGGUAGUGGGUAAAGAAGCGCCGGCUAACUACGUGCCAGCAGCCGCGGUAAUACGUAGGGCGCGAGCGUUGUCCGGAAUUAUUGGGCGUAAAGGGCUUGUAGGCGGUUGGUCGCGUCUGCCGUGAAAUCCUCUGGCUUAACUGGGGGCGUGCGGUGGGUACGGGCUGACUUGAGUGCGGUAGGGGGGACUGGAACUCCUGGUGUAGCGGUGGAAUGCGCAGAUAUCAGGAAGAACACCGGUGGCGAAGGCGGGUCUCUGGGCCGUUACUGACGCUGAGGAGCGAAAGCGUGGGGAGCGAACAGG
rnacentral:rRNA from 1 species